rnacentral:rRNA from 1 species
UACGUAGGUGGCAAGCGUUGUCCGGAUUUACUGGGCGUAAAGAGCGCGCAGGCGGUCGUUCAAGUCGCGUGUGAAAGCCCCCGGCUCAACUGGGGAGGGUCACGCGAUACUGAUCGACUCGAAGGCAGGAGAGGGUAGUGGAAUUCCCGGUGUAGUGGUGAAAUGCGUAGAUAUCGGGAGGAACACCUGAGGCGAAGGCGGGCUACUGGGCCGAUACUGACGCUGAUGCGCGAAAGCCAGGGGAGCGAACGGG